UAACUGAAGAGUUUGAUCAUGGCUCAGAUUGAACGCUGGCGGCAGGCUUAACACAUGCAAGUCGAGCGGGGGAAGGUAGCUUGCUACUGGACCUAGCG
rnacentral:rRNA from 1 species